rnacentral:rRNA from 1 species
AUUGAACGCUGGCGGCAGGCUUAACACAUGCAAGUCGAGCGGGGGAAGGUAGCUUGCUACCGGACCUAGCGGCGGACGGGUGAGUAAUGCUUAGGAAUCUGCCUAUUAGUGGGGGACAACAUCUCGAAAGGGACGCUAAUACCGCAUACGUCCUACGGGAGAAAGCAGGGGAUCUUCGGACCUUGCGCUAAUAGAUGAGCCUAAGUCGGAUUAGCUAGUUGGUGGGGUAAAGGCCUACCAAGGCGACGAUCUGUAGCGGGUCUGAGAGGAUGAUCCGGCACACUGGGACUGAGACACGGCCCAGACUCCUAGGGGAGGCAGCAGUGGGGAAUAUUGGACAAUGGGGGGAACCCUGAUCCAGCCAUGCCGCGUGUGUGAAGAAGGCCUUAUGGUUGUAAAGCACUUUAAGCGAGGAGGAGGCUACUCUAGUUAAUACCUAGGGAUAGUGGACGUUACUCGCAGAAUAAGCACCGACUAACUCUGUGCCAGCCGCCGCCGUAA